GAUUUCGUGGUGUAAUGGUAGCACACUCGGCGCGUAUUCGAGAGGUCCAGGUUCGAGUCCCGGCAAGAGCA
rnacentral:tRNA from 1 species